GUUUGACUGGGGCGGUCUCCUCCAAAAAAGUAACGGAGGAGUCCAAAGGUACCCUCAGCCUGGUUGGCAAUCAGGCGCCGAGCGCAAAAGGUAGAAGGGUGCUUAACUGCGAGACUCAUCAGUCGAGCAGAUACGAAAGUAGGGCUUAGUGAUCCGGUGAUUCCGUAUGGAAGGGUCAUCGCUCAUCAGAUAAAAGGUACUCUGGGGAUAACAGGCUGAUCGCUACCGAGCGUCCACAGCGGCGUAGCGGUUUGGCACCUCGAUGUCGGCUCAUCACAUCCUGGGGGUGAAGAAGCUCCCAAGGGUUUGGCUGUUCGCCAAUGAAAGUGGUACGUGAGCUGGGUUCAGACCGUCGUGAGACAGGUCGGUCCCUAUCUGCCAUGGGCGUACGAAAUUUGCGGAGGUUCUUCUUUAGUACGAGCGG
rnacentral:rRNA from 1 species